rnacentral:rRNA from 1 species
UACGGAGGGAGCUAGCGUUAUUCGGAAUUACUGGGCGUAAAGCGCACGUAGGCGGCUUUGUAAGUUAGAGGUGAAAGCCUGGAGCUCAACUCCAGAAUUGCCUUUAAGACUGCAUCGCUUGAAUCCAGGAGAGGUGAGUGGAAUUCCGAGUGUAGAGGUGAAAUUCGUAGAUAUCAGGAGGAACACCUGUGGUGUAGACGGCUUUCUUGGACC